rnacentral:tRNA from 1 species
AAGGCUUUAGCUUAAUUAAAGUAUCUGUUUUGCAUUCAGAAGAUGUGGGGUAGCGUCCUGCAAGUUUUA